AGUGAACGCUGGCGGUAGGCCUAACACAUGCAAGUCGAACGGCAGCACAGUAAGAGCUUGCUCUUACGGGUGGCGAGUGGCGGACGGGUGAGGAAUACAUCGGAAUCUACUUUUUCGUGGGGGAUAACGUAGGGAAACUUACGCUAAUACCGCAUACGACCUACGGGUGAAAGCAGGGGAUCUUCGGACCUUGCGCGAUUGAAUGAGCCGAUGUCGGAUUAGCUAGUUGGCGGGGUAAAGGCUCACCAAGGCGACGAUCCGUAGCUGGUCUGAGAGGAUGAUCAGCCACACUGGGACUGAGACACGGCCCAGACUCCUACGGGAGGCAGCAGUGGGGAAUUUUGGACAAUGGGCGAAAGCCUGAUCCAGCCAUGCCGCGUGGAGGAUGAAGGCCUUUGGGUUGUAAAGUGCUUUUGUAGGGAAAGAAAAGCCGCAGGCUAAUACCCCGCUGUUCUGACGGUACCCAAAGAAUAAGCACCGGCUAACUUCGUG
rnacentral:rRNA from 1 species